rnacentral:rRNA from 1 species
AAUGCGAUACGUAGUGUGAAUUGCAGAAUUCCGUGAAUCAUCGAAUCUUUGAACGCACAUUGCCGGUCGAGUCUUCGGAUGAGACCACAUCUGCCUCAGCGUCGGGAUAC